rnacentral:rRNA from 1 species
GAGUUUGAUCCUGGCUCAGGAUGAACGCUGGCGAGAUGCUUUACACAUGCAAGUCGUACGAGAGUCUUUGACUCAAGUGGCGGACGGGUGAGUAACACGUAAGAAUUUGCCUUUAGGAGGGGGACAACAACUGGAAACGGUUGCUAAUACCCCAUAUGCUUUCGAGUAAAAUGGAUUUUUCCGCCUAGAGAGAAGCUUGCGGCUGAUUAGCUUGUUGGUGAGGUAAUGGCUCACCAAGGCGACGAUCAGUAUCUGGUUUGAGAGGACGAUCAGACACACUGGAACUGAGACACGGUCCAGACUCCUACGGGAGGCAGCAGUGGGGAAUUUUCCGCAAUGGGCGAAAGCCUGACGGAGCAAUCUCGCGUGAGGGAUGACUGCCUAUGGGUUGUAAACCUCUUUUUUCAGGGAGGAAUAAAUGACGUGUACCUGAAGAAUAAGCAUCGGCUAACUCCGUGCCAGCAGCCGCGGUAAUACGGAGGAUGCAAGUGUUAUCCGGAAUCACUGGGCGUAAAGCGUCUGUAGGUGGUUUAAUAAGUCAACUGUUAAAUCUUGAGGCUCAACUUCAAAAUCGCAGUCGAAACUAUUAGACUAGAGUAUAGUAGGGGUAAAGGGAAUUUCCAGUGGAGCGGUGAAAUGCGUAGAGAUUGGAAAGAACACCGAUGGCGAAGGCACUUUACUGGGCUAUUACUGACACUCAGAGACGAAAGCUAGGGUAGCAAAUGGGAUUAGAUACCCCAGUAGUCCUAGCCGUAAACAAUGGAUACUAGAUGUUGAACAGAUCGACCUGUGCAGUAUCAAAGCUAACGCGUUAAGUAUCCCGCCUGGGAAGUAUGCUCGCAAGAGUGAAACUCAAAGGAAUUGA